rnacentral:rRNA from 1 species
GAUGAACGCUGGCGGCGUGCCUAACACAUGCAAGUCGAGCGAGAAGGUUUAGACGGAUUCUUCGGAUGAAGGAUAAACUGGAAAGCGGCGGACGGGUGAGUAACGCGUGGGUAACCUGCCCUGUACACAGGAAUAGCCAUUGGAAACGAUGAUUAAUGCCUGAUGAAACUAUUGAUUCGCAUGAAACGAUAGUCAAAGCGCUAUGUAGCGGUAUAGGAUGGACCCGCGUCUGAUUAGCUAGUUGGUAAGGUAACGGCUUACCAAGGCGACGAUCAGUAGCCGACCUGAGAGGGUGAUCGGCCACACUGGAACUGAGACACGGUCCAG